rnacentral:rRNA from 1 species
CUAGAGUUUGAUCCUGGCUCAGGACGAACGCUGGCGGCGUGCUUAACACAUGCAAGUCGAACGAUGAUGCCCAGCUUGCUGGGCGGAUUAGUGGCGAACGGGUGAGUAACACGUGAGUAACCUGCCCUUGACUUCGGGAUAACUCCGGGAAACCGGGGCUAAUACCGGAUAUGAGCCGCCUUCGCAUGGGGGUGGUUGGAAAGUUUUUCGGUCAGGGAUGGGCUCGCGGCCUAUCAGCUUGUUGGUGGGGUGAUGGCCUACCAAGGCGACGACGGGUAGCCGGCCUGAGAGGGCGACCGGCCACACUGGGACUGAGACACGGCCCAGACUCCUACGGGAGGCAGCAGUGGGGAAUAUUGCACAAUGGGCGAAAGCCUGAUGCAGCGACGCCGCGUGAGGGAUGAAGGCCUUCGGGUUGUAAACCUCUUUCAGCAGGGAAGAAGCGCAAGUGACGGUACCUGCAGAAGAAGCGCCGGCUAACUACGUGCCAGCAGCCGCGGUAAUACGUAGGGCGCAAGCGUUGUCCGGAAUUAUUGGGCGUAAAGAGCUCGUAGGCGGUUUGUCGCGUCUGGUGUGAAAACUCGAGGCUCAACCUCGAGCUUGCAUCGGGUACGGGCAGACUAGAGUGCGGUAGGGGAGACUGGAAUUCCUGGUGUAGCGGUGGAAUGCGCAGAUAUCAGGAGGAACACCGAUGGCGAAGGCAGGUCUCUGGGCCGCAACUGACGCUGAGGAGCGAAAGCAUGGGGAGCGAACAGGAUUAGAUACCCUGGUAGUCCAUGCCGUAAACGUUGGGCACUAGGUGUGGGGCUCAUUCCACGAGUUCCGUGCCGCAGCAAACGCAUUAAGUGCCCCGCCUGGGGAGUACGCGCAAGCUAAAACUCAAAGGAAUUGACGGGGGCCCGCCACAAGCGGCGGAGCAUGCGGAUUAAUUUCGA